rnacentral:misc_RNA from 1 species
UUGGUUAGCACGGUUUGGUUGGAUACCUGUUUCGGGCAGCGACGUCCGGCCGUGCCUUCCUAUUCAGUUUUUGGCACAAGUGCGUUUUACGCCUUGUCCUCGUCCCCGGUUUCCUGUGUUGAAUACCCACUCGACGGAAUUCGGAUGCCAAUCUUCCCUUGCCCGCCCAAGGCUUGCCGUUUGCUCGGCCUGGCCAAGGGUGAGCCCCCAAGCGAGAUCAGCGUUCCACAACGCACGCAUUUUGUGCGGUAGAUUCGUUGUGGCCCGCUAAUUUUUCGUUCGGGCUUCGGGAUGCGGAAUACUCUACGGGCACGGGGUCCCGUCCCCUAUUUGCCCACGAAUGCUAAAAACUCGCACGAAUGACGUCCGGCGUUGCGCUUUGCCCACGGGCGACGCAGCCCGGUGUCUGUGAGGAAUGCUACCUGGUUGAUCCUGCCCAGUAGUCAUAUGCUUGUCUCAAAGAUUAAGCCAUGCAUGUGUAAGUA